AUCUACAGCCAUCCCACCCUGGAUACAUCAGAUCUUGUCUGAUCUUGGAAGCUAAGCAGGGUCAGGCCUGGUUAGUACUUGGAUGAAAUGAAAAUGUUCACUCUGACCAGCAAAAGUUAAAAAUU
rnacentral:rRNA from 1 species